rnacentral:rRNA from 1 species
CUUUCCAUCUCGAAAGAUCUUUUCCAUUGUGCUGGCUUUGACUGUAUUGUCAUUUUAGGGCUUAAACAUGGUGUUAUGCCGGCCCUAAAAAACAUUAUACCAACCUUAUGAAAAUUGACUGAACAACUAAAACAAUUGAUAAUUUUGUUUAAAAACAACUUUCAACAACGGAUCUCUUGGUUCUCGCAUCGAUGAAGAACGCAGCGAAAUGCGAUACGUAAUGUGAAUUGCAGAAUUCAGUGAAUCAUCGAAUCUUUGAACGCACAUUGCACUCCUUGGUAUUCCGAGGAGUAUGCCUGUUUCAGUAUCAUGAGCACUCUCACAACUAAUCUUUGUUGGUUAAGAUUGUGGAAUUGGGAUGCGCCAAUUGUUAUUGAUUGGCCCUCCUAAAAUGUAGCUCUUGACUGUGGACUGCUACAGUAGUUUGGCCUAAUAGUUUUGGCAGUUAUAUGUCAAAUCUUUGGCUACAUUUACUUUGGUCCAUGCAGUCUUGAUAUACAGAAAACUCUAAAUACAACUUUGAUCUGAAAUCAGGUAGGGCUACCCGCUGAACUUAAGCAUAUCAAUAAGCGGAGGA